rnacentral:rRNA from 2 species
GGACCAAGGAGUCUAGCAUGUGCGCGAGUCAUUGGGACUAGCGAAACCUAAAGGCGCAAUGAAAGUGAAGGCUCGCCUUCGCGCGAACCCAGGGAGGAUGGGCGGCGGCCUUUCGUCGCCCCGCACUCCCGGGGCGUCUCGUUCUCCCAGAGAAGAGGCGCACCCAGAGCGUACACGCUGGGACCCGAAAGAUGGUGAACUAUGCCUGGUCAGGACGAAGUCAGGGGAAACCCUGAUGGAGGUCCGUAGCGAUUCUGACGUGCAAAUCGAUCGUCGGAACUGGGUAUAGGGGCGAAAGACUAAUCGAACCAUCUAGUAGCUGGUUCCCUCCGAAGUUUCCCUCAGGAUAGCUGGCGCUCGCUUUGCGAGUUUCAUCCGGUAAAGCGAAUGAUUAGAGGCAUUGGGGUCGAAACGGCCUCAACCUAUUCUCAAACUUUAAAUGGGUGAGAUCUCCGGCUUGCUCGAACUUGAAGCCGCGAGAAUCCACACGAAUCAGAGUGCCAAGUGGGCCACUUUUGGUAAGCAGAACUGGCGCUGUGGGAUGAACCAAACGCCGAGUUAAAGCGCCUAAAUCGACGCUUAUGGGAUACCAUGAAAGGCGUU